rnacentral:tRNA from 1 species
CUGGGCGGACGUCGACGACGAUCCCGUUCAGUCUCGACAUAGCUACAUCGUCCAUGCUGAAGUGAACGCAAUACUC